CUCCUGUUUUGUGUCGGUCUGUCUCCGAGUCCACUUCCGGCUUCCAGAAGGCUACUAGAGACAGGUAAUUAACUCAUCCGGUGUGCCUUUUAAGGUGAACCUGUCGAUUGUCUAUCUGCCUCCUGUAUUUGUUUGAAUGUGAGUGUCGGCCGGAGUGUGUGUUUUCCCCCUUUUUAAAAGACGAUAGCUUGACUGCCUAGCGGGCAGGGAACGCAUUACAGCCGGUGGGGCUGGGAUUUUACAGCCGG